rnacentral:sRNA from 1 species
GCGGAGGGAUCAUUAUCGAGUUACAAACUCCAAACCUUUGUGAACAUACCACAGUUGCUUCGGCGGCCUCGCCCCGGGCGCAUCGGGACCCCUCCGGGGGGACCGCGGCGACCCGGACCCAGGCGACCGCCGGGGGACCCAAACUCUUGUCUUUUAGUGUAUUAUCUGAGUGGCAUAAGCAAAUAAAUUAAAACUUUCAGCAACGGAUCUCUUGGUUCUGGCAUCGAUGAAGAACGCAGCGAAAUGCGAUAAGUAAUGUGAAUUGCAGAAUUCAGUGAAUCAUCGAAUCUUUGAACGCACAUUGCGCCCGCCAGUACUCUGGCGGGCAUGCCUGUCCGAGCGUCAUUUCAACCCUCAGCACCCCCGUUCGCGGCGGGAGCUGGCGUUGGGGAUCGGCCGUCCUCUGCGGCGGCCGGCCCCGAAACGAAGUGGCGGUCACGUCGCGACCUCCUCUGCGUAGUAGCAAUAUCUCGCAGCCUGGAUAGCGGCGCGGCCAUGCCGUAAAACCCCAACUAUACCAAGGUUGACCUCGGAUCAGGUAGGAAUACCCGCUGAACUUAAGCAUAUCAAUAAGCGGAGGAAAAGAAACCAACAGGGAUUGCCUUAGUAACGGCGAGUGAAGCGGCAACAGCUCA